AGGAGUUUAGGUUAAACAGACCGAGAGCCUUCAAAGCCCUAAGUAAAUAACAUCUAUUUAACUCCUG
rnacentral:tRNA from 1 species